UACCUACAUAAAAUUAUCUUAAUUAGUUCUGGUCCUAUAAGAAAGUUACAUAUAGCCGUAGACACCUACACUCAUUAAAAACCCAUUACCCCAUUCCACUACUUUUACCCUAUCAUCUCCUGCACCAUACCAACGGAUUGGGAGGAUGGGACACCACCCCUCAACACACCCAGUAAAACAUUUAUGAAGUCAAAUCGUAUACCCAAAUACAUUUCUGCAGCUGCCACCACAUCCAUUUUAUGUGAUUUACUUUCCAUUUCUGCGGUACAGUUGAUAACCAUUGCUAAGAAGCCAACCUUACUGAAGCAUAACUCGUUACCCUAUCCCUCUGUACUGGUACAACUCGAUUACCCACUGGGAUCCUCUCAGGACCCUCACCUGUGACCCAUCCUCCUCCACUUUCAAAACUGCCUCAGCAUACUACACCCUCUGCAUUAGUGUGACUCUGGCCACUUCAAUUUGCCUCUCUCGCACCGGACACAUCCAAACCCCAGCAAGAUGGGCACUCCUACAGUUAACACACACAACUACACAAUCCUCUGUCCCAUGCCCUCCUGCAUACUUCCCACAUCUUGGAAUCUCCCUCCUACACACUGCUGCACCUGAAACAAUGCAGUUGAUUUGGCACCUGAAACAAUGCAGUGGAUUUGGCACAAAAGCUCUAACAGGAUAACUGAUAUAUCCUAACAUGACUGCCGAGUAGACUGACUCAACACUCAAAAAUGGACUGACGGUGACUCCUUUUUCACCACCCUCCCCACCGGGUCUGCGACACACCAAAUGGGGGGCAUCACAAACACAAUCUUCAAUUGCUCCAGCGCCACACUUAACGCUACCCCAGAAAUCACUCCUUUCUAUGAUGCCCUCUUCCUAAGAGCAAAGCAAGAAACUGAUCUUGACCCAAGUUGCAUGAUACUGCUCCCUCUGAUCAGAAGAAACACAAACAAAUAUCACAAGUUCACUACAGGUUACCUUCACUGAUUCAACUGCACCCAACUCCUUUUACACUGAAGAGAAAGGCUCUUAUGGGUUGGCCUCAUUGCUCAAAGGGUGUAGCUAAAUAAAAAGUAAAGCAUGCUGUUCUUUGAAAUACGGUACUGUUUAUUACAAUAAAGUGGUGAUCCUAAGUGACCUAAAACAGGGAUUUUUUACGAGGAUUAAAUGUCAGGAAUUGUGAAAAACUAAGUUGAAAUGUAUUUGCCUAAGGUGUAUGUAAACUUCUGACUUCAACUAUAUACUAACAGCCCUAUGAAACCCUUUUAAAGACAGAAUAACACAAUCCAAAAUAAACAAGGGCAAUUUUAUAUGCAAAUGUUAUUACGGCAGCCAUAUUGGAUUUUGGACACCAUAUUGGAUUUGAGGCUAAAUCUAUGGAGGCCCCAAAGAUAAUCUUUGGUGGCUUGACUUAAUUACAAGACUAGGAGCUAAAGAUACAAAAUCCUUCAAGCAACCUCACACCCAACAAAAUCUAAUUCAGAUGUCUAAACCCAAUUGUUUUGAGCAGAUUACAAUAGCUCAAACAUUAAAAAAAUUAAAUAAUUCAAAAUGUCAGGCAGGACCAUACAUGAAUGAGAGCACAUAUGACUUGGAAAGUCUAUUAAUCAGCUACAAAAAAGUAAAGCUUACAUUCAUCAUACAUAUUCAUAGUUGACAUUUCCAUCUAUUGUAUCUCUGUGUUUACAGGUCUAUAUUUCCUAGAUGCAUUAAGAUAUCCAUCCUAAUGCUGUUUGUAUGUAGGUAGAACUACUAUCUAAAAAAUGUGGGGGGCUUGCCACUAGCCUAUUAUAUUCAUUAUAAUCUAAAAGGCUAAACUGAUCCUAAAUCAGCACUCAGAGGCUUGGUGGAUACGGGCCCUAACCUAACACCACUAAGACACUAGUUUAGUGGGCUCACCUCAGUGCUGUUCAGCUGGUUCCUCUGUAGGUUCAGGAAGAGGUGUUCCCAAGACCCUCCUCACACCCCUCAUUGACCAGCAGCACCUCUGGACCCUCCUCCUGGAAGAGACAAGUGAUACAGAUUACACAGACAUACACUCCUUCAGGCACACAGAGAGACAUCUCAGCUUAAUGUCGGCGCAGCACCUCAAGCUCAACAAGAAGGAGCUGAGGAAGGCCUGCCCGCUCCAAGACCUCUCCAUCACGGUUGACAACACCACAGUGUCCUCCUAGAGUGCAAAGAACCUUGGUGUGACAAUGGACAACACUCUGUCAUUCUCUGCAAAGCAGUGACUCGCUCCUCGCGGGUUCAUGCUCUACAACAUCCGUAGAGUACGACCCUUCCUCACACGGUGCAGGUCCUAAUCCAGGCUCUUGUCAUCUCCCGUCUAGACUACUGCAACUCUUUUGGCUGGGAUCUAUCAAACCCCUGCUAUUUAUCCAGAACACUGUAGCCUGCCUGUGUUCAACCUUCCCAAGUUCUCCCAUGUCACCCUGCUCCUCCAGUGGCAUCCUGUCAAAACUCGCAUCCACUAAGACUAUGGUGCUUGCCUACGGAGCAGCAAGGGGAACUGCUCAAACCUUACAUCCCAACCUGACCACUCUGUUCUGCCACAUCUUAUCUCUAGGCCGUCCCACACCUACGAGGGAUCAGCUCCCGAUCAGUCCAAUCAAAACUAAUUUCUGUCCUGGCACCCCAAUGAUGGAACCAGCUUCCCCCUGAAGCUAGAACAGCAGAGUCCCUGCCCAUCUUCUGAAAAUGUCUGAAACCCUACCUCUUCAGAGUAUCAUAAAUGAAUCUCAUCUUAAAUGAAGUGUUUAACAUAUCAAAAUAUAUUUUAUAUUUUACAUUCUUCAAAGUAGCCACCCUUUGCCUUGACAGCUUUGCACACUUUUGGCAUUCUCUCAACCAGCUCCAUGGGGUAGUCACCUGGAAUGCAUUUCAAUUAACAGGUGUGCCUUCUUAAAAGUUAAUUUGUGGAAUUUAUUUCUUUAAUGCAUUUAAGCCAUUCAGUUGUUGUGACAAGGUAGGGGAGGGUAUAUUUGGUAAAA